rnacentral:rRNA from 1 species
GGGGAAUAUUGGACAAUGGGGGCAACCCUGAUCCAGCCAUGCCGCGUGAGUGAUGAAGGCCCUAGGGUUGUAAAGCUCUUUCACCGGUGAAGAUAAUGACGGUAACCGGAGAAGAAGCCCCGGCUAACUUCGUGCCAGCAGCCGCGGUAAUACGAAGGGGGCUAGCGUUGUUCGGAUUUACUGGGCGUAAAGCGCACGUAGGCGGAUUGGUCAGUUAGGGGUGAAAUCCUAGGGCUUAACCCUGGAACUGCCUUUAAUACUGCCAGUCUUGAGUAUGGAAGAGGUGAGUGGAAUUGCGAGUGUAGAGGUGAAAUUCGUAGAUAUUCGCAGGAACACCAGUGGCGAAGGCGGCUCACUGGUCCAUUACUGACGCUGAGGUGCGAAAGCGUGGGGAGCAAAC